rnacentral:lncRNA from 1 species
UGCUGACAGACAGCUGGGAGCUGAGAGGCGUCUGACAGGGACGAGCGAGGCAGAGAUGACAGGGUGGUGGGCGGUCCUGUCACUCUUAGCGGGACUGCUGAGCAGAGCCUCUGCUCCUUCACCUGGAGAGGUGAGCUGCUGCCACAGCAUGGCUACUGACAGAUGGAUUGUGUGGUUCGACACCCUGGAACCAAACCCAGGCCGCCAAAGUGGCCUGUCCCAAACUACAGGAAUGAGUGAGGCCUGAAAGAGACACCAGUUUUGAGAAUCCAGAGGCAGAGUCUGGGAUGCUGCCUUCUCCACCGGCCUUUGCUUGUGCCUCGCUACAGCCCACAAUCUGGAACGUGUCUGGAACAAUGAAUUUUAACUGAGAAAAUAUGAAUGUAUGCUAGCCUGGGAAACAGAACCAACACUGCUCUGUCUCUCGGGCUCUCUGUGCAUUAUAAGGGGACAUACAAAUAUGAGGAAUUUUUGCUGUUCAUAUGACCAACACAGGUAGGUAAAUCAUUUUCUUCCCCAGGACACAUGUUUCUGGGCCUGCCCACUCCCUGCAGCUUGCACCGUCGGUCACUAAGUAGUGAUACUAGUCACCAUUAUUCGAAGACCUGUUAUGCUCCAGGUACUACACUUAGUCCUUUACAAACGUCUCAUUUAAUCCUCACAGCAUCCUUGUUAAAUGAGUAUCACUGGCCCCAUUUGCUAGUCAGGGAAUCUGAGGUUUUGAGAGGCUGCCCAAGGUCACCUGGCUAAUAAACAGCAACAACAGGAUUUCAGCUCAGUCUUUGUCUCUCAUGCCCACGCCUUCCUCUCUUCACCGAGCUCGCUGUAGGGUACCCAGUCACAGAACGCAGAUCCUGCUCACACACCCACUGUUGAGGCCUCAACCCCCUCCUCUGUCUACGUCCAUCUCUGUUUUAAACUGUAAGCCAGACUAUAGAUGGCAGGAACUGCUUGUUGAAUUCAUCUCAUGGUGCUCAGCAUACUUCCAGGAAUAUACAGCAGAUUUCUUUCUAAGAAAAGUAAUGGGUCCAUGAGUUUCAAAUUGUGUCUGAAGGCAAGAGACCGGGUUUGAAACCAACACCAUCACUUACUAGCAAUGUAACUUUGCUGCUGUCAUUUCCUCUCUCUGGCCUCAGUCUCCUCAUCUGUAAAGUGAAAUACUAGCCGCGAUGGUCUCCUGGGUUCCUUCCAAACAUGACUUUCCAAGAGCCUACGGUGUCACGUGAUGCAGAGCGGAGAAUUCCUGAAAAAUGCCUGGUCUUCCCAAGUCAGUCCUUUUCAGACAGGACUGUACGUGCCAAAAUGUGCAGAGGUAUCCUAAAUUUUCACAAAGCAAGGUCUGCCUAUCCGUUCAUUAUUCUGUAUUCUUGAGCGUCUAGUCCAUUACUCUACCUGUGGGAAGAACUUGGUGACUCAUGACUAAGCUCCCUUCAAGCCAUGGUGAUGUGUGACAAGAGCGCUUGAUGGACACAGGUAGUGGGUCUGCUGUCUCAGAGGGCGUAGCAGGAGGCAAGUCUAUUGUCUCGAGCUGGGCGGUCACAGCUGCAGGGUGAGUCCCUGGACACCAGACUGGAAAGAGCCCUGGAUGUGACGUCCGGGGAUCUGGAUGUGAGUUCCAAGCCUGUCCCAGUCAGCUGUGUGAAUUUGGGCAAUGGACCUCACCGCUCCUAUCCUCAGUUUCAUCACCUUUACUGAGAGAAUUCUGUCUACUCAGCAUCUGUCAUGGGCUGUUGAGGAAGACGAAUCUCGAAGGACAUAGAUGCAAAAGUGCUUUGGGAACUGUCCAGCGCUCGAGAGACGGGUCAUCCUUUUACCUUCUGAUUAUCUCUGGAAUCCAUCCAUGUCGUCUCUAUCAGUGGCUCCUCAAACCAGCUUCCAGCUUCUCUCAUCUGGCCUCCUGCCCACGUCAGCCCUGCUUCCAGUCUCUUCAGUAGGCGUGCAGCCAGCGAGAUCACCUGACCCUGUACCCUGAGGACUGGAGGGAAAAGCGGGAUGGAGGGCUGAGGGGCUAAAGGUAGUUUGGAUUAAGAAAAAGGGAUAUGGGUUGGGUCCCGUGGCCAAGUGGUUGGGUUCGCACACUCCCCUUCAGCAGCCCAGGGCUCGCUGGUUCAGAUCCCAGGUGCGAACCUACACGCUGUUCAUCAAGCCAUGCUGUGGCGGCAUCCCACAUGGAAGAACUAGAAUGACUCACAACUAGGAUGUGCAACUAAGUACUGGGGCUUUGGGGAGGAAAAAAAAGAGGAGGAAGAUUGGCAACAGAUGUUAGCUCAGGGCCAAUCUUCCUCAUCAAAAAGAAAGCAUAAAAAAAGAGAAAGGGAUAAAGCUGGAGAGAAAGGUGGAAUCACCUUGGUCCAAUCGACACGUAUUUAUCGAGUGGGCUGUGCUUGGUGUUGUGAGGGGGUCAGUUACAGUGUCCUGCCCUUGUGUUACUUAGCGACUCACUCCAACGUGAAACAGAUGGAGUGCGACUGAAUGCAAAGUUGUGUGCGUCUAAUCGUAAACUACUUCUGCCUGUUGCAGAAGCCCAGAGAAGCUCAUGGCGAAGGUUGGGUUUAAGACGGGACCUUGAAGAGCAAGCUGGAUGACAACGGAGAGAAGGAUGGGCUUCUGGACAGGGGGUCCGAUUGGGCUAAGACUGGGGUCAGGGCACAGCAGAGUGGGGAACGCGUGGUGGGGAGAAGGGGCCCAGCGUGGGGGUGAGCUGGCUGCACUCUGUCGGACAGCAGGCUGGGUGGUGGACUCAGGUGAAGCCAGACUUCAAAGUCUAGCCUGAGGGGAAGCAAUUUAAUUUAGACUAAAUGUGGAUAAUCUGAUGAAUCAUUGAUUUGCUCAGUGGAUCAUUUCAUAGCUCAGAAACGGAGGAAGCAGGGAAGAAAUGCGCUGCUCUGGACUUAACUCUGACCAGCCCCAGGGAACACUUGUUGGCAAUCGAGGGACUGGGACCCUUGGAGAAAGUGACUGUCAGGCUGGAGUGGGCACCGCAGGCUCAUUACAGGAUCCCAGAGGGAGUCUAUCAGGACAGGGUCCCCUCUCUCCCUCAGCCUCUGCAGGAGGCUCGUGCCUCUCUGCCUCCACUCCGACCCACCCUGGCAGGCCCACCCCUCGCCCGGCCCCGAGCCCCUGGAUCCCAGCCCCCUUCUGACUCUGUGCCAGGUCUCCGGCCAUGCCCACCCUCCUCGGGCCCCCCUUCGGCUUCCCGAUCUGAGCAAGGGCCAGUGCUCUGUGCUCUCUGGCGAAGAGGGCGGGGGGGGGGGCGAGGUGGCAGAGAAGUGGAGCCUGGAGAAAUCCCAAGCCAACCACACUGCCUCCCGCCAGCAUUCGACCAAAACAGCUCACCGGGAAGCAGCGGCGGUGCUCCCCGCCCUCCCACGCUCCGAGGGUCUUCUGCCCACUCAGGCCUUGCUCUGGCCACUCGGAUCUGCUCGUGAGAUGGAGCCGUGGGAGUGCCCGCACCAGUCAAGCCUCCAGCCCAGGGCAGCAGGCAACAAACAUCAUACCCGUGCAGAGGAUGCGGCAUACCAGAGGGUGGCAAGCAUCACAGGGAGAAACAGAGCCGCUGUGCUUUCUUCUCUCUCUUGCUGCUUCCCCACUCCGCCUGAUGUGGCUCCUGAGCCCUUCCUCACUCCCUGUCUCCGAGGCCAGCCCCUCCCUGCCACGUCCUGGCCCUGCAGAGGACUGCCAAGUAUAGGGUUUCUUGAUUUUAGCAGGAAUUGGACAAAGGCUCCCGUAACGGUCUUUGUGGACACUGUAGAGGACUAAGUCGGAUGACAGUAUAUACGGUGGAGACCUUGUUGGUUGAACAGCCAAAAAGAGUGUUGAUUAUUGUCAUCGUAAAGAUAUACAACAGGGCUUUUUCAUUGACUUUGACAGUUUCAGUAUUUUAGUCUGUGGCUUGGAUAAAGACUCAAUGGCACAAAACUUAGAGGAAAAGAUAAUACGAAAAUCAGCAAGAUCCAAUAGCUAAAGACUGGAGGAGGAGAAACAAGCCAGACUGCCUGCUGGAUGACUCCUCAGGCUCCUCGGGCAGCCCAGCAGAAGCAGGCUGGAGCCGUGCUGGUGCGCACGCUCCUCUCCUAACUGGCACUGGGGAGUACGAUAUGUCUUAUGCCAACAAGGCUGUAAAGCUCAGCCCCACUUUAUCAUUAAUAUGCAAGGCAGUGGGCACCGGAGCCCUCUCCGGGAUCACACGCGCACACACAGGAGAUGCCAAGCCAUGUCCAGCCGAAGCAUGACUCUCUGAGGGAUGGCAAGGGUCUGGGAGGGUGGUGUCCACCCUGCCAGCCAUGUGGCUGAGCCCCUCUACUUUGCAUCUACAUUGUAUGUCACUUGUAGAGCUUAUCCUCUCCCCUUGUUCCACAGAUGAGUUAAAACGAUAAGAUUA